GAGACCUUUAAGGGACAGGAAGAGUCACUGUUUGGCACUGUGGAGUAACAAAGAUCCCUAAGGAGAUACCUGGUUAAUCAGCAAACAACCUGAGGAAUACAAUCAAUUUUAGCAACCAUUGUGGAAGUUGCUGACAGUUCAGAGGUCAACAAACUAUUUCUGUAAAUGAAUAAAUUGGAAAUGCUUCAGGCUUUGCAUGCC